AACGUUUAGGUACCGGGGGAACCCCGGGACCGAACCGUAAAGACGGUUGGAUGAUGUGGAGUUAAUUCGAUGCAACGCGAAAACUUACCUACCCUUGUACAUGUCUGGAACCUUGGUGAGAGCCGAGGUGCCUUCGGGAGCCAGAACACAGGUGCUGCAUGGCUGUCGUCAGCUCGUGUCGUGAGAUGUUGGGUUAAGUCCCGCAACGAGCGCAACCCUUGUCACUAGUUGCCAUCAUUUGGUUGGGCACUCUAGUGAGACUGCCGGUGACAAACCGGAGGAAGGUGGGGAUGACGUCAAGUCCUCAUGGCCCUUAUGGGUAGGGCUUCACACGUCAUACAAUGGUCGGUACAGAGGGUUGCCAAGCCGCGAGGUGGAGCCAAUCCCUUAAAGCCGAUCGUAGUCCGGAUCGUAGUCUGCAACUCGACUACGUGAAGUCGGAAUCGCUAGUAAUCGCGGAUCAGCAUGUCGCGGUGAAUACGUUCCCGGGCCUU
rnacentral:rRNA from 1 species